CUGUGAGCUCGAUGAGUAGGGCGGGACACGUGGUAUCCUGUCUGAAUAUGGGGGGACCAUCCUCCAAGGCUAAAUACUCCUGACUGACCGAUAGUGAACCAGUACCGUGAGGGAAAGGCGAAAAGAACCCCGGCGAGGGGAGUGAAAAAGAACCUGAAACCGUGUACGUACAAGCAGUGGGAGCCUCUUUAUGGGGUGACUGCGUACCUUUUGUAUAAUGGGUCAGCGACUUAUAUUCUGUAGCAAGGUUAACCGAAUAGGGGAGCCGAAGGGAAACCGAGUCUUAACUGGGCGUUAAGUUGCAGGGUAUAGACCCGAAACCCGGUGAUCUAGCCAUGGGCAGGUUGAAGGUUGGGUAACACUAACUGGAGGACCGAACCGACUAAUGUUGAAAAAUUAGCGGAUGACUUGUGGCUGGGGGUGAAAGGCCAAUCAAACCGGGAGAUAGCUGGUUCUCCCCGAAAGCUAUUUAGGUAGCGCCUCGUGAAUUCAUCUCCGGGGGUAGAGCACUGUUUCGGCAAGGGGGUCAUCCCGACUUACCAACCCGAUGCAAACUGCGAAUACCGGAGAAUGUUAUCACGGGAGACACACGGCGGGUGCUAACGUCCGUCGUGAAGAGGGAAACAACCCAGACCGCCAGCUAAGGUCCCAAAGUCAUGGUUAAGUGGGAAACGAUGUGGGAAGGCCCAGACAGCCAGGAUGUUGGCUUAGAAGCAGCCAUCAUUUAAAGAAAGCGUAAUAGCUCACUGGUCGAGUCGGCCUGCGCGGAAGAUGUAACGGGGCUAAACCAUGCACCGAAGCUGCGGCAGCGACACUAUGUGUUGUUGGGUAGGGGAGCGUUCUGUAAGCCUGCGAAGGUGUACUGUGAGGUAUGCUGGAGGUAUCAGAAGUGCGAAUGCUGACAUAAGUAACGAUAAAGCGGGUGAAAAGCCCGCUCGCCGGAAGACCAAGGGUUCCUGUCCAACGUUAAUCGGGGCAGGGUGAGUCGACCCCUAAGGCGAGGCCGAAAGGCGUAGUCGAUGGGAAACAGGUUAAUAUUCCUGUACUUGGUGUUACUGCGAAGGGGGGACGGAGAAGGCUAUGUUGGCCGGGCGACGGUUGUCCCGGUUUAAGCGUGUAGGCUGGUUUUCCAGGCAAAUCCGGAAAAUCAAGGCUGAGGCGUGAUGACGAGGCACUACGGUGCUGAAGCAACAAAUGCCCUGCUUCCAGGAAAAGCCUCUAAGCAUCAGGUAACAUCAAAUCGUACCCCAAACCGACACAGGUGGUCAGGUAGAGAAUACCAAGGCGCUUGAGAGAACUCGGGUGAAGGAACUAGGCAAAAUGGUGCCGUAACUUCGGGAGAAGGCACGCUGAUAUGUAGGUGAAGUCCCUCGCGGAUGGAGCUGAAAUCAGUCGAAGAUACCAGCUGGCUGCAACUGUUUAUUAAAAACACAGCACUGUGCAAACACGAAAGUGGACGUAUACGGUGUGACGCCUGCCCGGUGCCGGAAGGUUAAUUGAUGGGGUUAGCGGUAACGCGAAGCUCUUGAUCGAAGCCCCGGUAAACGGCGGCCGUAACUAUAACGGUCCUAAGGUAGCGAAAUUCCUUGUCGGGUAAGUUCCGACCUGCACGAAUGGCGUAAUGAUGGCCAGGCUGUCUCCACCCGAGACUCAGUGAAAUUGAACUCGCUGUGAAGAUGCAGUGUACCCGCGGCAAGACGGAAAGACCCCGUGAACCUUUACUAUAGCUUGACACUGAACAUUGAGCCUUGAUGUGUAGGAUAGGUGGGAGGCUUUGAAGUGUGGACGCCAGUCUGCAUGGAGCCGACCUUGAAAUACCACCCUUUAAUGUUUGAUGUUCUAACGUUGGCCCCUGAUCGGGGUUGCGGACAGUGUCUGGUGGGUAGUUUGACUGGGGCGGUCUCCUCCUAAAGAGUAACGGAGGAGCACGAAGGUUGGCUAAUCCUGGUCGGACAUCAGGAGGUUAGUGCAAUGGCAUAAGCCAGCUUGACUGCGAGCGUGACGGCGCGAGCAGGUGCGAAAGCAGGUCAUAGUGAUCCGGUGGUUCUGAAUGGAAGGGCCAUCGCUCAACGGAUAAAAGGUACUCCGGGGAUAACAGGCUGAUACCGCCCAAGAGUUCAUAUCGACGGCGGUGUUUGGCACCUCGAUGUCGGCUCAUCACAUCCUGGGGCUGAAGUAGGUCCCAAGGGUAUGGCUGUUCGCCAUUUAAAGUGGUACGCGAGCUGGGUUUAGAACGUCGUGAGACAGUUCGGUCCCUAUCUGCCGUGGGCGCUGGAGAACUGAGGGGGGCUGCUCCUAGUACGAGAGGACCGGAGUGGACGCAUCACUGGUGUUCGGGUUGUCAUGCCAAUGGCACUGCCCGGUAGCUAAAUGCGGAAGAGAUAAGUGCUGAAAGCAUCUAAGCACGAAACUUGCCCCGAGAUGAGUUCUCCCUGACUCCUUGAGAGUCCUGAAGGAACGUUGAAGACGACGACGUUGAUAGGCCGGGUGUGUAAGCGCAGCGAUGCGUUGAGCUAACCGGUACUAAUGAACCGUGAGGCUUAACCUU
rnacentral:rRNA from 1 species